AUUGAACGCUGGCGGCAGGCCUAACACAUGCAAGUCGGACGGUAGCACAGAGGAGCUUGCUCCUCGGGUGACGAGUGGCGGACGGGUGAGUGAUGUCUGGGGAUCUGCCCGAUAGAGGGGGAUAACCACUGGAAACGGUGGCUAAUACCGCAUGACGUCGCAAGACCAAAGAGGGGGACCUUCGGGCCUCUCACUAUCGGAUGAACCCAGAUGGGAUUAGCUAGUAGGCGGGGUAACGGCCCACCUAGGCGACGAUCCCUAGCUGGUCUGAGACGAUGACCAGCAACACUGGAACUGAGACACGGUCCAGACUCCUACGGGAGGCAGCAGUGGGGAAUAUUGCACAAUGGGCGCAAGCCUGAUGCAGCCAUGCCGCGUGUAUGAAGAAGGCCUUCGGGUUGUAAAGUACUUUCAGCGGGGAGGAAGGCGAUGUGGUUAAUAACCGCGUCGAUUGACGUUACCCGCAGAAGAAGCACCGGCUAACUCCGUGCCAGCAGCCGCAGUAAUAC
rnacentral:rRNA from 1 species